rnacentral:rRNA from 1 species
CUUUACUGUAAUCUGAUAUUGGCAUUUGGCUAUGCAUGUGUAGGAUAGCUGGGAGGCUGCGAACUGUGCUCGUCAGGGCGCAGGGAGCCAACGGUGAAAUACCAGCCUUGGGUGGUCGGAUGUCUAACCUGUUCCCGUAUAUCCGGGGCAGGAACAGUGUCAGAGGGUCAGUUUGACUGGGGCGGUUUCCUCCAAAAGAAUAACGGAGGAGUUCAAAGGUCUGCUCAGCAUGGUUGGCAAUCAUGCGGCGAGUGUAAGGGCACAAGCAGGCUUUACUGCAAGACCGACGGGUCGAGCAGUUGCGAAAGCAGGACCUAGUGAUCCAGCGGUGGAAUGUGGAAUUGCCGUUGCUCAUCGGAUAAAAGGUA